CGGCGGCCUUUCUCGGGUAAGCUAAAUUGUUUUUGUGCGAAAUUUGGCACGCCCGUGGAAUGCCCAUUGCAGUAU
rnacentral:pre_miRNA from 1 species